rnacentral:rRNA from 1 species
AUACGGAGGAUCCGAGCGUUAUCCGGAUUUAUUGGGUUUAAAGGGUGCGUAGGCGGCCUUUUAAGUCAGCGGUGAAAGUCUGUGGCUCAACCAUAGAAUUGCCGUUGAAACUGGGGGGCUUGAGUAUGUUUGAGGCAGGCGGAAUGCGUGGUGUAGCGGUGAAAUGCUUAGAUAUCACGCAGAACCCCGAUUGCGAAGGCAGCGUGCCAAGCCAUGACUGACGCUGAUGCACGAAAGCGUGGGGAUCAAACAGGAUUAGAUACCCUGGUAGUCCACGCAGUAAACGAUGAUCACUAGCUGUUUGCGAUACACUGUAAGCGGCACAGCGAAAGCGUUAAGUGAUCCACCUGGGGAGUACGCCGGCAACGGUGAAACUCAAAUGAAUUGACGGGG